rnacentral:rRNA from 1 species
AGGACGAACGCUGGCGGCGUGCUUAACACAUGCAAGUCGAGCGGAAAGGCCCUUCGGGGUACUCGAGCGGCGAACGGGUGAGUAACACAUGAGUAAUCUGCCCCUAGCUCUGGGAUAGCUCCGGGAAACCGGGAUUAAUACCGGAUACGACCACCUUAGACAUCUUUGUGGUGGAAAGGAUUUCGGCUAGGGAUGAGCUCGCGGCCUAUCAGCUUGUUGGUGGGGUAACGCCUACCAAGGCGACGACGGGUA